UCCGGUUUGUCACCGGCAGUCUGGCGUGAGUCCCCAACUUAAUGCUGGCAACACGCCACGGGGGUUGCGCUCGUUGCGGGACUUAACCCAACAUCUCACGACACGAGCUGACGACAGCCAUGCAGCAUCUGUGAUGGUCCGGCCGAACCGACCCUGCGUUUCCGCAGGUACGACCACCAUGUCAAGCCCAGGUAAGGUUCUUCGCGUUGCAUCGAAUUAAAGAACAUGCUCCGCUGCUUGUGCGGGCCCCCGUCAAUUCUUUUGAGUUUUAGCCUUGCGGCCGUACUCCCCAGGCGGAACACUUAACGCGUUGGCUGCGGCACGGACAGAUUCGACUCCGCCCACACCUAGUGUUCAUCGUUUACGGCGUGGACUAC
rnacentral:misc_RNA from 1 species